rnacentral:rRNA from 1 species
CGUAUGUCGCAAGCGUUAUCCGGAUUAUUGGCGUAAGCGCGUCUAGGCGGCUAAUAAGUCUGAUGUGAAAUGCGGGCUCAACUCCGUAUUGCGUUGGAACUGUAUAGCUAGAGUACUGGAGAGGUAAGCGGAACUACAAGUGUAGAGGUGAAAUUCGUAGAUAUUGUAGGAAUGCCGAUGGGGAAGCCAGCUUACUGGACAGAUACUGACGCUAAAGCGCGAAAGCGUGGGUAGCAAACAGGAUU